UUUAAUUGCUUCAGUUUGUUGUCUUAUAGGCUCUAUGGAAAGGUCUUAUAAACGAGGAACAACAACUCCUUAUUGCCCCAAGUUUCUGAUAUCAAAAUUGCAUGUUAUUGUUUCACGCUAAUCACUGUGAUCAUAGAGUUACCAAGGGUGAGGGUGAUGGGCUCUGGUUGGUAGAGGGAGGAGAUACCAUGCGUCUACAAUAGUCUUUCUUAGCCCACGCGUCACAAGAAGCCAUUUUCCAUCCGGUGGUCUUUU
rnacentral:lncRNA from 1 species